UACGGAGGAUGCAAGCGUUAUCCGGAUUCAUUGGGUUUAAAGGGCGCGUAGGCGGGACUGUAAGUCAGAGGUGAAAUCCUUCAGCUUAACUGGAGAAUUGCCAUUGAUACUGCGUACCUUGAGUACAGUUGAGGUAGGCGGAAUGCGUCAUGUAGCGGUGAAAUGCUUAGAUAUGACACAGAACUCCGAUUGCGAAGGCAGCUUACUAAACUGUAACUGACGCUGAGGCACGAAAGCGUGGGGAGCGAACAGGAUUAGAUACCCUGGUAGUCCACGCUGUAAACGAUGAUCACUCGCUGUUAGCAACAUAUCGUUAGCGGCUAAGCGAAAGCAUUAAGUGAUCCACCUGGGGAGUACGGUCGCAAGAUUGAAACUCAAAGGAAUUGACGGGGGCCCGCACAACCGGAGGAACAUGUGGUGUUAAUUCGAUGAUACGCGAGGAACCUUACCUGGGCUUGAAUGUAGUUUGACUUUAUCGGAAACGAUAUUUCUCUUCGGAGCAGGCUCCAAGGUGCUGCAUGGUGGUCGUCAGCUCGUGCCGUGAGGUGUCGGGUUAAGUCCCAUAACGAGCGCAACCCUCAUCCUUAGCACGCCAGCGGCGUAAUACCGGGGACCCUAAGGAGACUGCCAGUGUCAACUGUGAGGAAGGUGGGGAUGACGUCAAAUCAGCCCGGCCCUUAUGUCCAGGGCUACACACCUGUUACAAUGGCCGAUACAAUCGGCAGCUUCCCCGCGAGGGGAUGGUAAUCUCUCAAGUCGGUUUCCGUUCGGAUCGAAGUCUGCAACUCGACUUCCUGAAAUUGGGUUCGCUAGUAAUCGCCCAUCAACCAUGGCGCGGUGAAUACGUUCCCGGGCCU
rnacentral:rRNA from 1 species